rnacentral:rRNA from 1 species
CCUACGGGAGGCAGCAGUGAGGAAUAUUGGUCAAUGGACGAGAGUCUGAACCAGCCAAGUAGCGUGAAGGAUGACUGCCCUAUGGGUUGUAAACUUCUUUUAUAUGGGAAUAAAAUGUUCCACGUGUGGGAUUUUGUAUGUACCAUAUGAAUAAGGAUCGGCUAACUCCGUGCCAGCAGCCGCGGUAAUACGGAGGAUCCGAGCGUUAUCCGGAUUUAUUGGGUUUAAAGGGAGCGUAGGUGGAUUGUUAAGUCAGUUGUGAAAGUUUGCGGAUCAACCGUAAAAUUGCAGUUGAAACUGGCAGUCGUGAGUACAGUAGAGGUGGGCGGAAGUCGUGGUGGAGCGGUGAAAUGCUUAGAUAUCACGAAGAACUCAGAUUGCGAAGGCAGCUCACUGGACUGCAACUGACACUGAGGCUCGAAAGUGUGGGUAUCAAACAGGAUUAGAUACCCGAGUAGUC